rnacentral:rRNA from 1 species
GGGUUGUGAGGUUAAGCGACUAAGCGUACACGGUGGAUGCCCUGGCAGUCAGAGGCGAUGAAGGACGUGCUAAUCUGCGAUAAGCGUCGGUAAGGUGAUAUGAACCGUUAUAACCGGCGAUUUCCGAAUGGGGAAACCCAGUGUGAUUCGUCACACUAUCAUUAACUGAAUCCAUAGGUUAAUGAGGCGAACCGGGGGAACUGAAACAUCUAAGUACCCCGAGGAAAAGAAAUCAACCGAGAUUCCCCCAGUAGCGGCGAGCGAACGGGGAGGAGCCCAGAGCCUGAAUCAGUGUGUGUGUUAGUGGAAGCGUUUGGAAAGGCGCGCGAUACAGGGUGACAGCCCCGUACACAAAAAUGCACAUGCUGUGAGCUCGAUGAGUAGGGCGGGACACGUGGUAUCCUGUCUGAAUAUGGGG